CCGCAUCGGGGCAAUCGAAAAAUCAUCGAUUUUUGUUCCAGCUCUAUUUUCUGCGCAAUUCUUUUCGUACAAUAUAAUUCGAUUAAACAUAAAUAAAUAAACCCAAGCGCAAGUAAAUAAACCCAUUAAUGCGGUUCAUCUUGCGCCGGAGUUCGCUCGCGAUAGUUGUACGGUUUUUAUUUUGGCCCGCCCUCGACUUAAUCGGCGCAGGCGGCGUGUUUUCCCCGAGUUCUUUUUAACCGUAUUCGGGAAAUGGGCCGCGAUCCGUAGGCGGAAAACGUGGAGAAGAGGAACGAGGAAAGAAAAGCAGAGAAGCGCGGAGGAGGCGCUGGCGGUGUAGGAGGAGCGGAAAGUGCGAAAAGUGUGAAAAGUGUUUGGGGUUAUGUGCUAGAGUCCCCUCGGGGGGAUUUUCAGCUGCUUGGAUCCGCGACAGAGACGUAAUCGCUCCGGGAAAUCGCUCGCAUUGCGCUGCUGCACCCUCUCCUCAGCAACCGAAAAAAGCAAAAAAGAAAAAAAAGUAAUAAAGCGAGAAACAAGAGAAACAGAAAGCACGCAAAACAUGGCAAGUGCCGUUCGCGCUAAGUCCGCCACUGCCGCGGUCGGCGUCGCAGUCGACGAAAGCAGCGGCAGCAGCAACGGCAGCGUUGCGGAUCAGGAGGUGUCCUCCAGUAAGGAGACCGUCCUGCGCUUCUUUAUUCGCACGAGAUACGAAAAAUAUAUAUUCGCCCGUUGGGACGAUCCCAUAAUCUUGAUAAUGGAGCAACUGGAGCAGAUCGAGCGCUGUCGAUCUGCCACCUUGGAGAACCAGGUGACCAUCGGCCGGGAACGAUCCCAGGAAGACUCGCCGAACGACCUGCGUGAGGUGGUUAGCAACAUAAGGCAGGACCACUCACUACACCCAAUCGUGAAGCACAUCGAGCAAAUAUCCGACAUCCAGGCCUCCAACGGUCAGGAGCACGCCUCCCUCGGUUGCUUGAGGGAGCUGAUCAAGAUUAUCAGAAAGGAGUGGCCCCGGGACGACUCAAUCCAAGUGCGGAUGAAGCAAAUACAGAGCAUACAGGCCCAGCCGCCCGCGGAGAGUUUAUGCUUUGGCGAGCGUCUCCGUGACGACAGGUGCCCGCUCUCCCUGCAGACUAAGCGGCACAAGGAGCGCAUCCAGGCCAUGAUGUACGAACGAGUGACGUGGCGUAUCCGCGAACGCAUGAAGACGGCAAGCGUGGCCCUGGUUCUGUGCCUCAACAUCGGCGUGGAUCCGCCGGACGUGGUAAAGAUCCAACCCUGCUCGCGGCUAGAGUGCUGGAUAGAUCCCAGCUCGGUGUCCCCGCCCAAGGCCAUGGAACUCAUUGGGAGCAACCUGCAGAUGCAGUACGAACGCUGGCAACCAAGAGCCAGGUACAAGAAGUGCAACGAUCCCACCGUGGAUGACGUUAAGAAGCUCUGCACCUCCCUACGCCGAAACGCCAAGGGAGAGCGCAUACUCUUCCAUUACAACGGACACGGUGUGCCCAAGCCCACGGCCAACGGAGAGAUCUGGGUGUUUAACAAGACCUUCACGCAAUACAUCCCCCUGAGCAUAUUCGAGCUUAUCACGUGGAUGUCAGUGCCCUCAAUCUACGUGUAUGACUGCUCCAAUGCCGGCAUCAUCAUCAAUUCGUUUCAGCCAUACGCUGAACAGCAUGAGAAAGAACUGAAAAAGGCACAGGCCGCCGCCCAGCAGAGGGGCGGAGUCCAGCAGCUGGUGGGCGGCUCAGGUGGUUCCGUCAAUGUAGCCGCCAACCAGGUGCAGUUGCCCAACCAGAUGGUCAGUUACCAGAACUGUAUACACCUGGCCGCCUGUGCUGCCAAUGAGAUUCUGCCCAUGAAUGCCCAGCUGCCGGCGGAUCUGUUUACCAGCUGUCUGACAACACCCAUCAACAUAGCGCUCAAGUGGUAUGCCAUGCAGGAAAAACUGGGCAUGGUGCCGCGUAUCCAGAGUGAACUGAUCGAUAAGAUUCCAGGCAAAGUCAACGACCGGCGCACCAUGAUGGGUGAGCUCAACUGGAUCUUCACCGCCAUAACGGACACGAUAGCGUGGAACACACUUCCCCUCGAGCUCUUUCAGCGCCUGUUCCGCCAGGAUCUACUGGUGGCUAGCCUGUUCCGCAACUUCCUGUUGGCCGAGCGCAUCCUGCGCAGCCACGACUGCACUCCAGUUUCCCUGCCCGCCUUGCCGCCUUGCUAUCGCCAUCCAAUGUGGAAGGCCUGGGAUCUAGUGGUAGAUCUGGCUCUACAGCAGUUGCCCGAAAUUCUCGAUCACAAUGCGCCGUACCGCCAGCUGCCGUUUUUCGAGCACCAACUCACAGCCUUCCAGGUGUGGCUGGACAGUGAAUCGGAAUCGAGAACGCCACCGGAACAGCUGCCCAUUGUGCUGCAGGUCCUACUGUCGCAAGUGCACCGCCUGAGGGCCCUAGAGCUGCUGGCUCGAUUUCUGGAUCUCGGUCCGUGGGCCGUUAAUCUCGCCCUGGGCGUGGGCAUCUUUCCAUAUGUGCUCAAGCUGCUGCAGAGUUCUACGCGCGAACUGCGGCCCGUUUUGGUGUUCAUUUGGGCCAAGAUCCUGGCCGUGGAUCCCAGCUGCCAGGUGGAUCUGGUCAAGGAGUACAAGUACUUCCUCUCCGUGCUGCAGGACACCUCCGUUUCGAAGGAGCAUCGCACACUCUCCGCCUUUGUACUGUCCUCCAUAGUGCACAACUUCCUGCUGGGACAGACGAGCGCCCUUCAGGGUCCCCUACUGUCCAUUUGCCUCGAGCAGCUAAACGACGGAAGCUGGCUGUUGCGCCAGUGGCUAGCCAUCUGCCUGGGCAUGUUGUGGCAGAACUUUGAAAAGGCUCGUUGGUCGGGAGCACGCGACCUGGCGCACGAGAAGCUCUACGUUCUGCUGCGGGACUCGAUUCCGGAAGUAAGAGCCGCUGCCGUCUUCGCCUUGGGCACAUUUAUCAGCUCCGUGACGGACCGCAGCGAGGAGCAGGCGAAUAACAUCGAUCGCAUCAUUGCCAUUACCAUGCUCGAGACCGUUGGCGAGGAUAUGUCGCCGCUAGUCCGCAUGGAGUUGGCCGCCGCUCUGCAAUGGAUGGUGGUACUCUUUGAGUCACAGUUCGUGGCCGUAUAUCUAACUGAGCAUAUGCGCGGACACGUUUCCGCCGCCUCGUUCGUGAUGUGUCCCGAUCCCCGGGAGCUGACUUCUUCCACGCACAGCCUGGAGCGUCAUGUGACCAUCCGCAGGGGAGCCAGCUCCAGCUCCAUAUCUAACAUGGGUGGUGCGUCAACUGGCUCGGGCACAGGAUCAUCCAGCAACCCAUUGGGUCGCUCGAAGAGUGGCUCUGCCAGUUCGGGCGGAAGAGGAGCUGCCGGAGCUGCGGGCGGUACAAACAGCAUACCCUUCCAGUCAAUUUUCACCAAACUGUGGCUGGGCAUCUGUAAUCUGGCCCAGGAUCCGUUUCCCCGUGUGGCGGCCAUUGCCCAGGAGAUUGUUGACCAUGUGAGGGAUACGGCACUGUGUCCCAUCAUGGCGGCCAAGGAAGCCACCAUGGCCAAUGCCUCGGAGAAGUGCAGUAGCCUAAGUGUAAGCCUCCCGCCCAGUCCAAAUACGAGGGUUAAUUACUUGGGCGGUGGUGGUGCACCAGGAGGAGCUGGGGCGACUGCGGAAUCACCGCCCGUCGGAGCAGCUGCUUCGGGCGCCAGUCACUGGGCCCAAAAGCUAAGGCUAUCGGGCAGUGGAGCCUGCGUGGCUGCCGGAGAUCCUCAAACCAUUCUGCAGCGCAAACUGCGCACCAGCUCUAUCAACGAUGAGACUGACAGCGGGAUAGCGUCCUCCCGAGGAGUGACGGGCGCCGGAGCUGGUCUGGGAUUGCCCAGCGGACCGAGGGAGAGCACCCAUUCGGCGCGAAGCAGCGGCAGCGAGAGCAAUCACUACUUGGAGCCGGGACACAGCCUCACGCCCAUUGUCCUGACCGAGUUCAUACCCUGGGCCAUUUCCUAUUUCACACGGCCGGGCAAGGAGCGCUACAGCAGCGCCGAGGGAGCAGCAGAGGAGGGACGCCAGCGUUACCCAGUGGACCGAAACUCAACGGAGCUGCGGCGCAGGAGGUUGCGCUUCCUGCGAAACGAUUUUGUGCGCCGACAUGCCGGCCGCAAGCACCAGGAGCUGAUCGAUCCCUACGGCUUCGAUGUGUGCGUGUGGAACCGGAAGACACAGUUCACGCCUGCCAUCGUCAAGCUGCUGCCUUACGAGCCGCAGAUUGCGGUGGCCUACAGGGAGAAGGUUCUGGUCUACGACUUCCAGUACAACUCGGUACGCACAUACGGCGCCGAGGCUCUGGGCGGCAACUCCACUGGCUCUAGUUCCGGUUACGGAUCAGGUUCCGGAUCAUCUUCAUCGCUCAAUGGCAGCACCCCGCGAAAGUCGGGCGCACCCCCAAGUGGGGGAGGUGGCGGAUUUUCGGCCGCCCCCUUUGCCCGCGUUAGCAGCAUCGAGUUCAUCAAUGCACAGGAUAUGGCACUCAACCUGGUGGCACACGAAGACGGGGUGGUGCGCGUCUGGCAAUCCUCGCCGCCGGCCAGCUCCGCCACCACCGAGGAUACCCCGAGCAAGGCCCGAUUGGUGACUGCUUGGACGGCACUGGGUCAGGUUAACCAACACAAUCACCGCCAGCGCAGCGUGGCUUCCGGCGGCAGCAUUGGCAAGGGUGCGGACGCAUCGGGACUGUCGAGCGUUGGCUCGGGAGGGAUUGUGACCGCAUGGCAGCAGUGCAGCCAGCACCUUGUGAUAGGCGGCGGUGGCUGCCGAUUUAUCCGCAUUUGGGACGUAGAACGGGAACUGAAACUGGCAGAUAUUCCAUUGGGCCGCAGCGAAACCUGCGCCCGGGUGCUAUCACCCUACCUGCCCAAUAUGCGUUCCGAUGUGAUACUCGCCGGCUGCGACGACGGCAGUGUGCGACUGUUUGACAAGCGAUGUUCCCCGCAGGACGCCCGGAUCUCCGUUUAUCGACGCCACAGUGCCCCCAUUCUCCAUGCCAGCCUGCGGGCAAACGUACCGGUGCUGGUCUCCGGCUGUACCGAAGGUCGGAUCAGUGUGGCGGACAUGCGGGCGAGCCAGUCCGCCAUUGGCCUCAACGAUGUGGUGUACGAGUGGGACGCCGGUGGCGAUGUGACGGCCAUAACCAGCCACCAGCUAGCGGACACGGUGGCCUGCGGCAACGCCUCGAAGAUUGUGAUCUACUCGCUGGACGGACGGCAGCAGAAGGUGUUGCGGACGAACGAGGGUUUCAUUGGGCCCAAAAUUGGUCACCCCACGUGGCUGUAUUUCCACCCAUACAAAGUGCAGCUGGCGGUGGGCUUCGUGGACAAUAUGGUGGCCAUAUACAGCCCCACCCCAGGUAGAAAACAAUUUGAAAAAUGAGAUGACUGGAGUUUCUUUAAUAAGAAAAUAGCAAGAAUUUCAAGAAUUUCAAGAAUAUGAAGGAGCUACUUUGAUAAGAAAAUAAUUUUCUAUAAGGGCUGUGGCAAGUGGAAAACUGACGUCGAUAAGAAUCCCGAAACCUUGGUCAACGCACGCAGGUUCCUUGCGGAGCCGCAGAUGCAGUCGGCAGUGGAGCAGGUACGGAGCAGCACCCGGCUACCGGAUCU